UACGUAGGGGGCUAGCGUUGUCCGGAAUCAUUGGGCGUAAAGCGCGUGUAGGCGGUCCGGUAAGUCCGCUGUGAAAGUCGGGGGCUCAACCCUCGAAUGCCGGUGGAUACUGUCGGGCUAGAGUGCGGAAGAGGCGAGUGGAAUUCCUGGUGUAGCGGUGAAAUGCGCAGAUAUCUGGAGGAAUACCGGUGGCGAAGGCGGCAUCCUGGACCGACAUUGACGCUGAGGAGCGAAAGCUAGGGGAGCAAACGGG
rnacentral:rRNA from 1 species